rnacentral:lncRNA from 1 species
GGCGUGAACCCGGGAGGCGGAGCUUGCAGUGAGCCAAGCUCGCGCCACUGCACUCCAGCCUGGGUGACAGAGCAAGACUCCGUCUCAAAAAAAAAAAUCUUACCAAGGUGGUGGUUCAGCCCCCGAACAGGGAAGAGAGUAGUUUUAGGGAGAACUAUUAUUAUUCUUGUUUCAAGUUAAACUCUAAAUUCCUCCGCCGGUCAGCUGGGCCUACACCCAGGAAUGAGCAGGGUCAGCUUGGAGGUCAGGAGCAGGAUGGGGUCGGUUAUGUCAUAAUUUUGCAAGGGUGGUUUCAAUAGGAAGACAUAAGGUCCAAGAGAUGCCAUUCACUAAGGGACUCCAUUGGGGGCGGUGAGAAGGCUCUGGACAGCUUCUCCAGAAAGGGGACGAUGACAGAACACCUGUUGAGUCCAAGGAGCAUUAGAGAAUUGGUGAAAAAUUUGGGGCCAAAUUAGUGAUAAAUUUAUUGAAAACUAAGUAAAUGAGAAACAAACAAAAAAAGAACCUCCAGGGAAAACAAGAAGCUGUGUAGGAGAUAAAAUGUUAUCAUAAGGCCAGAUGCGGUGGCUCACACCUGGAAUCCCAGCACUUUGGUGGUUUGUUUUUUUUUUUUUUUUUUGAGAUGGAGUUUUGCUCGUUGCCCAGGCUGGAGUGCAAUAGCGCGAUCUCGGCUCACUGCAACCUCCGCCUCCUGGGUUCCAGUGAUUCUCCUGCCUCAGCCUCCCUAGUAGCUGGGAUUACAGGCAUGCACCACCACACCCGGCUAAUUUUGUAUUUUUAGUAGAGAUGGGGUUUCUCCAUUUGGUCAGGCUGGUCUUGAACUCUUGACACUGGGCCCAGCCUUAAUCCCAGCACUUUGGGAGCCCGAGGCGGGUGGAUCACUUGAGGUCAGGGGUUUGAGACCAGCAUGGACGUGCCUGUAAGCCCAGCUACUCCGCCUCCCAAGUUCAAGCAAUUCUCUUGCCUCAGCCUCCCCAGUAGCUGGGCUUACAGGUGCCCGCCACCACACCCGGCUAAUGUUUGUACUUUUAGCAGAGACCACGUUUCACCAUGUUGGUCAGGCUGGUCUUGAACUCCUGACCUCAGGUGAUCCGCCCGCCUCGGCCUCCCAAAGUGCUGGGAUUACAGGCAUGAGCCACAGUGCCCUAACUCAAGCAAUUCUUAAACAAAAGCCUGGUCAGGCGCGGUGCUACCUGACUGUCAGUUACAUGGAGGCGGGCCAGAGUGCAGCCUGAUCAAUGCUAAAUUAUAACUCUAUUUCUGUCCAGAAUUAUUCUUUUAUUUUUUCUUUUGCUUUUUCCUUUUAUUUUCUUUAACUGGUUUUUUUCUUUUUUUUCCUUUUUUUUUUUAAGACAGAGUCUUGCUCUGUCACCCAGGCUGGAGCGCAGUGGCGCGAUCUCGGCUCACUGUAACUGUAACCGCCCAAGGGGUUCACCUUGCCAGCUGUCUAGACAGAGCUGAUUCAUCAAGACAGGGGAAUUGCAAUAGAGAAAGAGUAAUUCACGCAGAGCUGGCUGUGCGGGAGACCAGAAUUUUACUAUUACUCAAAUCAGUCUCCCCGAACAUUCGGGGAGUAGAGUUUUUAAGGAUAACCUGGUGGGUAGGGGGAAGCCAGUGAGCCAGGAGUGCUGACUGGUCAGAGAUGAAAUCACAGGCAGUCGGAGUCAGAGCUGUUUUCUUGCACUGAGUCCUGGGUGGGGGUCACAAGAUCAGAUGAGCCCGUUUAUCCAUCUGGGUGGUGCCGGCUGAUCCAUCAAGGCAGGAUCUGCAAAAUAUCUCAAGCACUGAUCUUAGGAGCAGUUUAGGGAGGGUGGGAAUCUCGUAGCCUCCAGCUGCAUGACUCUAAACCAUAAUUUCUAAUCUUGUGGCUAAUGUUAAUCCUACAAAGACAGUCUAGUCCCCAGGCAAGAACAUCUGCUUUGAGAAAGGGCUGUGACCGUCUUUGUUUAAACUAUAAACUAAAUUUCUCCCAACGUUAGUUCAGCCUACGCCCAGGAAUGAAGAAGGACAGCUUGGAGGCUAGAAGCAAGAUGGAGUUGGCUAAGUUAGGUCUCUUUCACUGUCUCAGUCAUAAUUUGGCAAAGGCAGUUUCACAACUUCCGCUUCCUGGGUUUAAGUGAUUCCCCUGCCUCAGCCUUCCGAGUAGCUGGGGUUAUAGACGUGCGCCACCACACCAGGAUAAUGCUUGUGUUUUUAGUAGAGACGAGGUUUUGCCAUGUUGCCCUCCCAACACUCCUGGCCUCAAGUGAUCUGCGCACCUCGGCCUCCCAAUGUGCUGGGAUUACAGGCAUGAGCCACCACCCGGGGCUGCGCUCAUUGUUCAUGAAUUUGUACAGCUUCAUCUCCAGAGCCCUCCUGAUCCUUUCCUGGCAGUCAUUGGGUGGGGUGAAAGUCCCAACCCUUCAGUCUUUAGGUCUUACUUACCAGCCCCACCCUGAGGCUCCCCCGGGGCUCUACCCUAGACCACUGCAUUAGCAUAAACUCGGGAGUUCUCUAACAGAGCAUAUAAUGAACGACAAGACACGCCUACCGAUCAGGAAUUUCCAAAGGUGUUAGCGGCUCCGUGACAGGAACUGGGGACAAACACCAAAUCGAUUUCUUCUUCUACUACAGAAGAUAAACCCCAAAUAAUCAGCUCCAAGAGGGAAAGGGGCUGCGGGAGGAGGACUGUGAUUUUUCUUCUGACAAGCCGCACGGACCCAUGAAUCCUUAAGCCAGGGGCCUGGCUAAUUAUCAUAAAUCAAAUUUUGAAAAGUCUAGAUAGGAUUGAUGUUAUUCCCCAUGCCACACUGGGCCUGUUUGUGGCCCAAAGAUUUCUGGGACGCUGGGGGACCCAGGUUGUGUCCUCAUCAAGGCUGUUUCUGUUUCAGCAGAUCAUCCUGGGCUGCAUCGCACCCACCCAGUCGUGGGGCUCAGGCUUGCCCCCAUCCCUGGUGCAUGCCUCUUCGCGGCGGCCAGGUGUGUGUAUAGACUAUAGGCUGGGGAGGCGCAGGAUCUACGCUGCCGGCAACUUCAUCUUCCUGCAGCUGCUUCCCAGAUCUCCUGCCUCCCAGAUGGCCCCGGCUGUUUCCACAACCUGGUCCACCCUCCCUUCUCUCGGGCCGGCACUGGUUGAGGGCUGCGUCGCACGUGCUUCUCACCAAAGCUUCCUAACAGGGACGGUGUGCUCCCCCUCUGACAUCGGGGUAACCGGCAGAGGGCCUGCGUGGCUGCAGGUCACAGAGCUGAGGGAGGCAGAGUUGAGAUUGAGAUCUGGACCGAUUCCAGAGCCCUUGGGGAAAGGCCCUCACACUUAGGGGGUCACGGGAUCGUCCCUCUAAGGGGGCAGCAUUCCCUGCCUGGAUCUUGGCCAGGGAGUAGAUGUCAGAGAGACCAUCCAUGCCGGGACCUCCAGAGUGCCUGGCCUGAGAUGCAGGAGACCCUGGGGUGAGCAGGGUGGAGUGGCGUCGGACGGUGGCUGCUGAUUGGCUGUGUGUCCUUAGGCACAUCGCCUUGCCUCUGUGCAGCAGGAACAAUGCCUGGCGGGCAGGUGGUUGUGAAGGUUAAAUGAAAGUGCCUGGCCCACCCAGCUGCAGCCUGGCCUGUCAGGCUCCAGAAAUAGCCCCUGCCAACCCACCUGAACGCCAGCUGCUCCUCUCGGGGUGGCCUGGAGAAGUUAGCCUGAGGUCAGAUCUGCUGAUGGGCCAAAGGUCUGAAGGUGCUCAGUCUGGUGAAUUCACAGGGGUGGGGAGUGGGGGGCAGGUGGAGACUGGAGGGCUAUGACUGGCCUGAAGCCAGAGUUGAUGGCGAAACUGAAUCCCCCUUACUCUGGUGUCCCAGAAAACAUACCCGGGUGAGUUAGGGCUCCAAGGUGGCUAGGGGACAGCCCUGGUCCUCGCAGUCCCUGGUGGGGUGCCCACACUUGCUUUCUCAAUUUGUCCACAUAGGGGGCGGGGCAUGGUGGGAAUUUGAACCCAAGUCUGAAUGCCGGGUGGAGUCAGGGCACAGUCACUGGGCCAGUGUUAAGCUCCUGAUGUGCUUAAAAAGGCCGAAGGUAACCAGCCCCGCCACCCCUUCCUGUAUUUGCCCUGGAGUACCUGGAUGGGACCUGACUUACACCUGUGAGUGUCCCCAAUUUUUCUGAGAAUGCUCCCGG